GGGAUGACGGCUGCCUACACAUGCAGUCGACGGUAACAGGAGGCAGUUUGCUGCUUUGGUGACGAGUGGCGGACGGGUGAGUGAUGUCUGGGAAUCUGCCCGAUGGAGGGGGAUAACCACUGGAAACGGUGGAUAAUACCGCAUAACGUCCCAAGACCAAGGGGGGGGACCUUCAUGCCUCACUCCAUCGGAUGAACCCCGAUGGGAUUAGCUAGCGGGUGGGGGAACGGCUCACCUACGCGACGAUCCCUAACUGGUCUGAGAGGAUGACCCCCCCCACUGGAACUGAGACACGGUCCAGACUCCUGCGGGAGGCACCGAUGGGGAAUAUUGCACAGUGGGCGCAAGCCUGAUGCAUCCAUGCCGCGUGUAUGAAGAAGGCCUUCUGGUUGUAAAGUACUUUCAGCGGGGAGGAAGGGAUGGGGCUUAAUACGCGCCGUCAUUGACGUUACCCGCAGAACAAGCACCGGCUAACUCCGUGCCAGCAGCCGCGGUAAUACGGAGGGUGCAAGCGUUAAUCGGAAUUACUGGUGGUAAAGCGCACGCAGGCUGUCUGUUAAGUCAGAUGUGAAAUCCCCGGGCUUAACCUGGGAACUGCAUUUGAAACUGGAUAGCUUGAGUCUCGUAGAGGGGGGUAGAAUUCCAGGUGUAGCGAUGAGAUGCGUGAGAGAUCUGGAGGAAUACCGGUGGCGAAGGCGGCCCCCUGGACGAAGACUGACGCUCACGUGCGAAAGCGUGAGGAGCAAACACGAUUAGAUACCCUGGUAGUCCACGCCGUAAACGAUGUCGACUUGGAGGCUGUUUCCUUGAGAAGUGGACUCCGGAGAUAAACGGUGAAGUCGACCGGCUGAGGAGUACUGCCGCGUAGGUUAAAACUCAGAUGAAUAGACUGGGCGCCCCCACAAGUGGUGCAGCAUGUGUCAUUAAUAUCGAUGCAACGCGAACAACCUUACCUGGUCUUGACCUCCACUGAUGUCGACAGAGAUGCGCUAGUGUCUUCGGUAACAUGCCGACAGCUGCUGCAUGCCUGUCGUCUCUCGUGGUAGAUGAAUCGUGGGUUACUCCCAGAGAACAUGCGCAUCCUUAUCGUUAGCUAGGCUGGCGCGUGAUGCAAGUUACCUCGAUGGCAGACUG
rnacentral:rRNA from 1 species